UCACCCCUCAAGCCCCGUGCUUGGUGUUGGACGGCUUGGUCGCGCGAUCGACCCCUCCUAAAGACAAUGACGGCGGCCUGUGGUUCCCCCGGUACACUGAGCUUUUCACGGAGCACGUAUCGGACGAGGGCACCCAGGGCACGGUCCUCUCCUUUCACUAGGAAACUUCUCAA
rnacentral:misc_RNA from 1 species